CAUCCACAGGCACUGAUUGGGAUAAUUCCCAAAAUGUCAGGCCUCAAAGGCCCAGGGAGGGAGGUUUUCAUGGGGUUUAGGGGGUUGGUAUAGAAGUAGAGGACUUGACAGUCUUUGAUUGGUUCUUAUAAUAAGCAUCAUAGUGACCAGCUAUGAUGUAUUACAGUGACCUACCAUUUCUAAGAGAUAUUUCUAAGAAACUGGAACUGCAACAGGAACUGUCACCUGGGCAACUGAAAUAUAUUGGCUGGGAGUGGUGAGCAUUUUCUGCUACAAAGCAAGUGAAGGCAUGGGUACCUUAGUGUUUAAGAAUAAAAUGGCUCUGGGCUUUGCCUGUGCCCCAACCUUCUGGAGGUCACACACACAGGCAGCCUGUGAUCACUGUCAGUGCAGUCUGCGUCUGGCUCCUCUGUGCAUCCUGAACUGACUGGAGAUUCAGAAUCAGAUGGGCUGCCACCUGCUGACAGCAUGGUUCCCAGCCAAGGACCACCGAGAGAACCAGGUACUUCCCAUCUACUUCCUGGGGGCAGAGUAGGUGACCCAUGACCCCA
rnacentral:lncRNA from 1 species